rnacentral:ncRNA from 1 species
GUCGCCGUGAGGCGGGGUCUGAAAGAAGCGUGUAGCAAAGCUAUGACCUGACGAACAGAAACCAGAUACGAGGCCUACCCGGCCGGACGAGCGGGCAAAUGAUCGCGAAGUCCAUAACCAUCAAAGACUGGGUCGGUAAAUCUGGCAGGUGUGUAGCGAAGGCGGCUGAGC